rnacentral:lncRNA from 1 species
AUGAGGCAGCUGCAAUCAAUUGUCCCCAUUUUACAGACUAAGAAACAAGGGACAGAGUUCAGCUCAAGUUCUCAACUCCUGCAUCGUAUUACGCAGCUUGCCAAGUUUGCAAAUAAGAAUUCUCACAGAAAUUUUGUUACCAUGGAUACGAGGAGCACAGGAUUCUGCAGAGGCGUCAUUAGAGUAGAGCCAACCACUAGGGGCCAUCUGCCACUCAACGAUGCUUCUGUCUCUGAAAGCAAUUUAGGGAAGAGCCAAGAGGAAUAGAACUUCCCCGUCUAAUUAGCCCAAGGAGCCAGGUAACGGAUCAGGAUUAAACUAGAAUGAAGUUAACACUUAAUAUUGGAUGGGAGAUUAACUCCAUGGGGGAUAUUGAUUGGUUUCUCAGCAGCUGAAGUGCAGUAUUACAUCAUUGUCAAAUGAGUUGCUUAUUUUUAAUCUUCUGGAAACUGGGGAUCAAAAACAAGCAAGGAAAAAAAUCAGAAGAAUUUCUUAAAUAACCAGCAGAUGAAGUCAAAUCUGUAUUCAUUUUUGACUCUCUUAAUUGAGCUGGGCUAAAUGGUGAUGUAGCAGAAACAGGAUGAUUUCCCAUUCUCUUUCCCUUAUUGAAAGUUAUUCCUUUGUCAUCUCUCAUUAGGUUCCACUCUUAGGGAGAAUGUAUUAGUUGAUACUUUAUUGCGAGUUUAAGUUCAAGGGGUAGUUUUCCCCUGAGUUUUGUCUUGCCGUAGCAGUGCCCGCCUAUCCCUACGGUAGUGAGCUCAGUGACAGCCUCUUUCCCCGAGAACGCCGCCAGGGCAGCUGAGCUAUGUGUAGGAGAGCACAUAGUUUACAUCCCAACUGAGAGAUUUUUGUCAUAGAAGGCAAAAAUACUAAUUAGUUCAGAUCUAUCCUGAUUAGCUGUUCUUAAACCUGGCUAGUCAUUAUAAUUGUCAGUGGCUGGACAGAAAUUCUUGUCUCUGAAGCAAGAAAGAACUCAAGGAUUAAAUGUAGAUCAAAGUCAGCGGAAAAGCAGGAUUUAUUUGCAGUUGAACUGGAAGACCCCACUCAAAAGGGAGUAUGGACAUUUCAAGUGUGAGCUGCACUCAAUAAAGCUUGGCGGUGUCUCUUUACA